AUUGAACGCUGGCGGCAGGCCUAACACAUGCAAGUCGAACGGAGCGGCGGCCGGGUGAGUAAUGCCUAGGAAUCUGCCUGGUAGUGGGGGAUAACGUCCGGAAACGGGCGCUAAUAACACAUACUAUCCGAUGAGCCUAGGUCGGAUUAGCUAGUUGGUGGGGUAAAGGCCCACCAAGGCCACGAUCCGUAACUGGUCUGAGAGGAUGAGCAGUCACACUGGAACUGAGACACGGUCCCGACUCCUACGGGAGGCAGCAGUGGGGAAUAUUGCACAAUGGGCGCAAGCCUGAUGCAGCCAUGCCGCGUGUAUGAAGAAGGCCUUCGGGUUGUAAAGUACUUUCAGCGGGGAGGCGUUACCCGCAGAAGAAGCACCGGCUAACUCCGUGCCAGCAGCCGCGGUAAUUC
rnacentral:rRNA from 1 species